GGGGCCGUGGGGUAGCCUGGCAUCCUGCCAGCCUGGGGGGCUGGCGACCUGAGUUCGAAUCUCGGCGGCCCCA
rnacentral:tRNA from 1 species